rnacentral:rRNA from 1 species
GAUGAACGCUAGCGGCAGGCCUAACACAUGCAAGUCGAGGGGUAGAGGAAGCUUGCUUCCUUGAGACCGGCGCACGGGUGCGUAACGCGUAUGCAAUCUACCUUUUACAGAGGGAUAGCCCAGAGAAAUUUGGAUUAAUACCUCAUAGUAUAUAUCAUUCGCCUGUUUGAUAUAUUAAAGUUCCAACGGUAAAAGAUGAGCAUGCGUCCCAUUAGUUAGUUGGUAAGGUAACGGCUUACCAAGACGAUGAUGGGUAGGGGUCCUGAGAGGGAGAUCCCCCACACUGGUACUGAGACACGGACCAGACUCCUACGGGAGGCAGCAGUGAGGAAUAUUGGUCAAUGGACGCAAGUCUGAACCAGCCAUGCCGCGUGCAGGAAGACGGUCCUAUGGAUUGUAAACUGCUUUUGUACGGGAAGAAACACUCCUACGUGUAGGAGCCUGACGGUACCGUAAGAAUAAGGAUCGGCUAACUCCGUGCCAGCAGCCGCCGCCGUAA